CCUACGGGAGGCAGCAGUGGGGAAUUUUGGACAAUGGACGCAAGUCUGAUCCAGCCAUUCCGCGUGCAGGACGAAGGCCUUCGGGUUGUAAACUGCUUUUGUACAGAACGAAAAGGUCUCUAUUAAUACUAGGGGCUCAUGACGGUACUGUAAGAAUAAGCACCGGCUAACUACGUGCCAGCAGCCGCGGUAAUACGUAGGGUGCAAGCGUUAAUCGGAAUUACUGGGCGUAAAGCGUGCGCAGGCGGUUAUAUAAGACAGAUGUGAAAUCCCCGGGCUCAACCUGGGAACUGCAUUUGUGACUGUAUAGCUGGAGUGCGGCAGAGGGGGAUGGAAUUCCGCGUGUAGCAGUGAAAUGCGUAGAUAUGCGGAGGAACACCGAUGGCGAAGGCAAUCCCCUGGGCCUGCACUGACGCUCAUGCACGAAGACGGUGGGGAGGACGAAACAAGGAGUAGUAUACCUACGGUAGUCCACCGACCCUAAACCGAACUAGUCACUGGUUGGUUGGGUUCGUUCUACU
rnacentral:rRNA from 1 species